GUGAAUACGUUCCCGGGCCUUGUACACACCGCCCGUCACACCACGAGAGUUUGCAACACCCGAAGUCGGUGAGGUAACCUUU
rnacentral:rRNA from 1 species